rnacentral:rRNA from 1 species
UACAGAGGGGGCAAGCGUGGUUCGGAAUUACUGGGCGUAAAGGGCGCGUAGGCGGCCUGUUAAGUCGAACGUGAAAUCCCCGGGCUCAACCCGGGAACUGCGUCCGAUACUGGCAGGCUUGAAUUCGGGAGAGGGAUGUGGAAUUCCAGGUGUAGCGGUGAAAUGCGUAGAGAUGUGGAGGAACACCAAUGGCGAAGGCAGCCUCCUGGGCCAACACUGACACUCAUGCACGAAAGCGUGGGGAGCAAACAGG